UACGAAGGGGGCUAGCGUUGUUCGGAAUCACUGGGCGUAAAGGGCGCGUAGGCGGCGCGACAAGUCAGGCGUGAAAGCCCCGGGCUCAACCCGGGAAUUGCGCUUGAUACUGUCGUGCUUGAGGCCGGGAGAGGAUGGCGGAAUUCCCAGUGUAGAGGUGAAAUUCGUAGAUAUUGGGAAGAACACCGGUGGCGAAGGCGGCCCCCUGGUCGGAUACUGACGCUGAGACGCGAAAGCGUGGGGAGCAAACAGG
rnacentral:rRNA from 1 species